AUAUAUAUAUACACACAUAUACACACACACACACAUAUAUAUAUAUACACACACACACUGACACUGAAAAAUGUUUAGUGUGAAAAUCCACACUGCUGCUUUUAUAUGAAAGUACGUUCAACAUGACUCAAACAAAUGAAUGACACAUUCACAUACAGAACCACACAUCUAGUCCACCCACAUACAGAAAUAACACCAAAUUCUGUGCUAUAUAAGCACAUGUGCUUUAAGAUACACGAUACUGGCUAUCAGCUCUCUGAGAUGAACUUGUCACAUUUUGGGCUGUCUUGUGACCCAUGUUCAGAGCCCCGUCUGCCGACAGGCCCUGUAAUCUGUGGUUGGAAGUGGAACACACAGACAGCCACAACCAGCAGCAACGCGCUACUUUAAUACACUUGGGAGUGACCACACAUUCUGGCACAAAUACACACGCAUACAUUUGGGAACUGUGAAUCUAAUUCUGUCCAACCGAAUGCGGCACAAGGUGCCGAUGCUGAAAAAGGACUGUGACGCCCACUUUUAGAAAAUGGGAUUUAUACAGUAUUUAUAAUCACCUCUUUGUGCAGAAUUAACAUUCACACAAUCAUUAACUUUAUAGACACUUUAUCCAAACAUUAUUAUGGCUGCCUAAUUUUUGAACAAAAACGUGUGCUCCUGGUGAUUUACAAUUAUCCAGUGCUCAGACUGUGUUAUGUUUUAGGACUGCAAGCACUUUUCAAAGUCCCUUUUAGGUGGGAUGAGGAUGUACAGUGUUGCGUCAAAAAGUUGAGUGAUGACUCAGUUCAGAAGGAAGAUGGGGGGGGGGGGGAGUCAACACCUCGCGGAUAAGGAAAGAGCAGGCAAUUCAUGCAUCACAUCCUCUUCUAAUUUAAUAUGAGGUGUUGCCAUCAGGUCAAAGGUCUUUAGGGUGCAAAGACUGGUGAUUUACAGCCAGACGACUUCCUCUCACAGUGACUCACAACCUCCUCCAGCUAGUGUAGGUGCCAUUCAGUAUAAUAACAUAAAGUUUGAACUACAGUACAGUGAGUAUCGUGGCAGUCACUCACAGCACCAAAUUCAACGGCUGGUAUGCAAACACAGUUUCAUCCAGCACACUGAAGCCAUUAUCUUCGCCUCACCCACAGAUGUACAAUAGGUUGUAGGUGCCCUACUUCCAUGUUCACUUUUCAUAGCCAUUUGUAUACUUUUUCUGGUGGAAUGAAUGAUGCUGCUUACUAUGGGUACAAUUCAGCACUAUUACUUAUGCAUCAUAUGCUAGUUAGAGCUGCAAUAAUAGAGGUUUUUGGUCACUUUAGGGUAGUGGAAACAAGCUGUAAACAGAACACUGAUAUAUUACCAUCUUGUUAAGUUGAGAUGGCUAAUGUCUUAGCAAACUGUUGAAAGAUUUACACAUCCAGCAGACACAGAGCAACAUUAGCAUUCAUGUUGAGUUGUGUCUAACGCCACUUGGCGAAUGCAAGUCCAAUAUUCACUCUCCUUUUAGCUCUGUGUUGGUCUCUACCUACUCCUGAGGAAAAUAUCUUGCUACUUUGUUAACCAGCUAGUUGCUAACUUUGUCAAUCAGUUCUUUGCUGCUGGGCAGGCAGCAUACAGUUUGAUUUCAGAGCUUCUGAAAACAACUGCCGUCUGCAGCUGAAAACAAUGUUGAUAAGAGCGGUGAGACUGGAAAACCAAAACAAUGAGCUGAAAAACAUUAUGAAGCUCCGUAGAGCUGAGGAGAGGCCAGAUGAUAAUACAAUGUGGGUUCAUCAUGUCAAACAUUGUUAAUCAAACAUUUUGAUUAUAGCUGCUUUUAACAAAAAGCUAGCCAGAAUUUAAGAGAGGGGAGUAUUUUUCAGUGGCAUUUCUUCAUCUUGGCUGUAAAGUGAAAACAACAUAAGCAAACAGCUACUGUACAGCGGAAUUAAACUUGCAUCUGCCGCGUUAGCUAAAAUUAGACAAUUGAUUGUCUCCCUGCGCUCUGUAAAUGAAGUACAAACAAUUCUAUAUCACACAAACUUGUAACUGAGGUCUCCUUGGUUUCUGUGUUUCAUAGUUAUUGGUCCACUGCUGUGUUUGAAGCGUCCACUCCAUAGUUUUUGUUUCUAUGCCUGGUCCACACCUUGCAAACAAGUCUGUCUCAUAAUUAGGAAAUGACCUGUGGGAGGAGUACACACCUGUAGACUCCUUGCCAAGCCACAAUAGUGCACCAACAAUGAAUUCUUAAGUUCCAAUAUGGUACAUUUAUUUGCCUGUAAGCCAUGUUAGCAGCCACCUUUUGUCUGUAUUUUACAAUCAAAACACCACGAAAUUAUAGCUGUAACGAAUUGUAAAUAUACUUUUAGAGCACAUACUAUUAGGAGUGCUACUUACUGAGCUGGACCCUGGUUAUCAGGUCUGGAAUCCAGCUCAUGUGUGACAGAUAAAAAGGCCAGUGAGGGCAGCCCAGCCAUGUGUGAUAAGGGCGGCUAUACUUCCUCUGAUAAGGAAUGACUGGCCGCGCCUCUGCAUGAUCAACAGAACCACACACACACGCACACACACACACCCCCGCACAGGGUCUGCCUCUCUCUGUGGAACUCCACACACACACACACACACACACACACACACACACACACACACACACACACACACACAGCACAUGCCCUGUUUGCAGCAAUCAGGAAGUGACUCCAUAAUCAGGAUUAUUUCAUUAUUGGUUUGUACUUUCGAUGCACUGAAUGCUGACAGUGUUUCACAGCACGGGCUGACACUCCCGGUACGGGGACAACGGCAGUGCCACAUAAACAUAAACAUAUAGUUGAUUAAAUGUUGUUUAUCAAGUGAAAAUAGCAACCAUGUGCUAGUGACAGCUACUUAAAUGUGAAGAUUUUUCAGAUUUUCUCAGUUUCAUACCAUCAGUAUUUCUGGUUUUGUUGACUAUAGUUCAAACUCUAUUAGCAUGUGUAAGGCCUUACUUUGAGCUCAGCUAACUUGAUCUUUUUGACCUUUUAUUGACUACAUAAUCAAAAAAUUAUUAAAUAGUCUCCCUUUUAUUUCUAUGUCCUGCUGAAAAGUUCCAGCGCUAGUUAUAAACUGUGUAGCUCAAAGAAAUGUAAAAAACAAAAAAACGCAUAUGGAUUUGAGGUUGAGAAUACACAUUUUCUUCACAUACAGUAUGUACUAUAUAUAUGCACAAGAAUUAUUUAUUAUUCCGGAUUUAUUAGCGUUGGUACUGGACAACUUAAAUACUGCAAUUCAAUGGAGUUUUGUGAAGGUAUUUAAAUAUAUUUAUGAUAUAAAUGGGGUGCUAGGAAGGAACAAAAAGGAGGAACUGAUCAAAAGUGAGGACAAAAAUGUGUGAUGGGAUAAUCAAUUUUUUAUAGUAAACAAAGAACUACAAAUAAGCAGUUUUAGACAAAAUUGGGUGAAUUAUGUAAAAGUGAUCCAUUUUUGUGACAUUUUAGCUACAUACAACACGAGGAAUUAGCCAACAACUUUGUUAAGAUCAUUCUAAUUUUGGCUUUCAUUUAUAUUUUCAUUUCAAUGUGAGAAUGUAAAGGAAAUAAACAGAGAGAGAGAGAGAGGGGCUAAGCAAGUUAAUUCACAACUAUUGACACUGGAGGUUACUGAGGGGAAGUUUGAUCGGUUUUCUGUCAAUCAGCUGAUGUUAUAUGGAACGCUCACAUGUCUGGGCAGCACAAGACUCAUGCUGCUGGUGUGAGUGAGUGUGAGUGUGUCAGUUGACAUGACAGAGAGGUCUCUAAUAUGCAGAGGAACGCCAAUGGAUAACAUCCCAUACCCAACCCACCGAUCACAAUUGUGUUGCAGCUCCAACAUGUUAUCCAACAGCCUGUAACUGCACUCCAAGAGGAAGCCGUCGUCCCUAAGGUGAUUCUGCAGCCCUGUCAUCUCUAUCGAGGUGUAAACCAUACUGAAAAUAAGCUGAUUGGUUCUAAACCUCUUAAAAGCGACUGAAAAGCUAACCAAGACCCUCUAUAAUGCCUCAUAUCCUCUUGUGCUGUGUUAGGCUUACAGAUUUGGGUCAAAUUUAAGUGAUGAGGGGCUUUCUAAUGUUCUCUGCAAUUAUGAUUGACAUCCGUUACAAUGUCAACCCUGGUGUGUUUGAUCAGGCAGUCUUCAUUUACAUAAACUGUCAGAUAUCAGUGGUUUAUCUUGUAAUUUCGACGGCCUGUGGUCCCGCUCCAGGGCACCAAACCAACUGAAAAUGAUUUGCAUAAUGAACACUAGGAAGUCUGUUCUCUUAGGGCUUCCCUAGUCUAAAUAUGCUGGUAUAUUUACCACUAUACAUGAUGGGCUGCAAUGUUUCCUGAUGCUAUUUGUGGUUAGUUUUAAAUAGCCUGUAGUCUUUCUCUAUUAUGUGUUGAAGGAAUACUUUAAAUUUUAUGCUAACAUGAAAACAUCCAGUUUCCAAGAAGCAUAAAAUUACUGUGAAUCAUUGCAUUUUAACUAAAUAUGAGAGUACUGUUUGAAAGUGGGGCAAUUUUUUCACAACAAUAAACCCUUUAGUGUAGGUGAGCUCACCGAAGAUCUGAAGCUGUAUAAGAGUGACUAAACAUAAAUCAGGACAGGGGAGGACUGAGACUGACUUGUAUGUUGCAGGAAUAAACUCUUUAGCCUACACAGAAAAAUAGUUUCACAUACCGUUAGCCAAGUCAUCAGUCACAAAACCAAACUAGACAAACAUUCAAAUGUAUCUCCUUUCCUUAAAAUGUCAUAUGUGGAGAAACAUUGUCAUUGGUGGAAGAUAAGCUAAAUUAUAAAAGCAACUGGCCUCACUGUCUCAUGUCUUUUUAGACAGAUCAGAAAGGAUAAAUCAGCCAGAACGACAGAGCACAUAACGUACAGUAGCAUUAGUCUAUACAUAAGCACAAACAUUACAUGCAUGCAAAGUGUACUGUAUUCUUUGAUUUAAGUCAAUCAUCCAGGUACUACGAUGUCAAACUAAAGAGUAUAAACCUGAACUGGUUACUGAAGACGUGAAAGUUCACAGAGUUCAUUCACCAAAGAGCUGAAAGGAAUUUGAGGCUUCAAUACCCAGCACGGUGGAUGGUCGUAUACUUGGUGUGACAAGGGAAAAACACACUGAGUGAAGUGAAUGAAAACUCAAGCUAUUAUAAUCUUGGUCAUCCAGUCAGCUGAUGAGCAGAGAUUGGUAAAAAAACAAAAAAAACAAAAACAGGCAAACAAUCCGGGUCCAUUGUUUGGUCUCUAGAUAUAAACAGCUCAGGCCAUUAUAUAAAGGCUUCGGAUAGCAACCAGUGAUGAGCUGCUCUGUAAAAACACAGGAAAUACUGUGAACAAGGAUCUGUUCCACAUGAUGCGUGUGUGUGUGUCUCCAUGUGUUUGUGUGUGUGUUGGGGUGGGGGGGAGGACAGAGAGAGAAAAAAAUGCAAAGGGUCUGCAAAGGACAUGGAGUGUGUGUCGAUAUUCUCCCUGUUUGUGUGUGCAUUAUAUGUUUGUACGCUUGAGUGUGACCUAUAUGUUACUAACAUCAUAUGUUAUGCUAUUUAUCUGUGGCUUCAUAUACAACAACAUCAUAUGGACUUGUAGACUGUUGCUGUAAUUAAGAUAAUACCAGCAAAGUACUGUGCCUGAGUUUUGUAGCUUGCCUGUUAUUUAUUUCUUAUUUCUGUGGAGUUUCAUGUUUUCUUUUGUUCUUUCUCCAUGCUGUUUUCUCCUCAGUUUUGGAAAUUAUGUGAUCAUCUGGCCUAAAACAGUAAUAAAAGAGAGUGUAAGCUGCUAAAUAAGCCCCUCUGAGUCUCUCUUCCCACACUUUCUCAACCACCAGGACUAUCUACACAAUGACGCCAGCUGUAAUGACUUCAGUCUCACCAACUUAGUGGUUUCUGAGUCCUUGCAUGAUGGUCACCCCUCAUGGAGUGGACGUAAUGACUAUACAUGCGGACACUAUUUGCACUGUAUUUAAAUAUGUUUACAUAUACAUAUUUUUCUUCUUUUUAUUGUAUUCCUUAUCUAUUCAUUAUUUAUUAUUCAUUUUCUAUUCCCUACAUAUCUCUGCUGUUGUGAGACUGCAAUUUCCCCUCAGGACAAAUAAAGAGCUACCCUACCUGACCCUAUCCCUCUCUUUCCACACUGUCUUGGGAAUAGUUACAUUUAUGUACUCUUUUUACAGUAUAUGCAAAUACUAGAUACAUAAAACACAUUUUAUAGCCACAACUAAAGUUUGACAAUAGGAAAUAUUCAGCAGUCUAAAACAGCAACAGAAAAUGUCAGGUUUCAUGGCCAAUCCCUCAGUCAGAAAGACCAUUUUCUACACUACUAUAAGCCUCAAUAGACCAGAAUGCAAUGCAGUUCCAGCACAUGUUGCACUCGAAGUCAGGGGGUGCAAGUCUCACUUUUUAAGUACAAAAAACACCCUCUUUUGCCGUUAUUGCGAUCAAUCUUUCUACAUACUUGUACAAUUAACACAUCCAGGUCCUCUGGCUCGUUGUAUUGUAUUGUGGGAAAUGUAGGAAAUCACUUAAGCAAAAUAAGAGACAUGGCAGGCUGAGGGACAAGUGGGUAGAACAGGACAAGAAAAUUACUUUCAAUACACACCUAGUUUUAUAAAAGUGUCAGAGGUAUCUAAGGCUGGAUUAUUAUUUUACCAAAAUGUGCAGUUGUUACAUAAUUGAGUGAUGCUCCAAUGUAGCUGCAGCUCUAUGUUAGAAAAUGAUACAUUAUCUGCAGGACCAAGAGUGGUGAUGAAUUUACACUACUAACAACUGCUGGUAGAGAAACCUCUUCUAUAGUAACUAUAAUUUAUUAUAAAUUGUUCUGCCAAUUAUGCAUCGUUUUGGUGAUGAACUUUUCCACUGUCCCGAAAUUCCACACGUGUUAAGUUUAUUAUAGUCUCAAUAUCAAAUGCUGCUAACGUAGAAAAAUAUGUGCGUGAGGAACAGAACAGUCCUGCUGAGGGAACAUGCAGACCUGCUAACUCCUCGCUGCUGUGUUUGCCAGUUGAUGAGUGCAUAUUGUUCAGGGAUGGAUUAUAUUUCGUUGCUACGUUGACCUUAGCUGAAUGUCACCGGGCAUCUCCUGUCCAAUACUGACUGUGCACAUGCUGACCCUGCAGCAGCAGACACCAGAUCAAUACAUCCUCUGUUCGUGUUGUGACUCCACAGGGUGUGUGUGUGUAAGAGAGACCUUGCACUUCUAUAUAAAAAAAAAGGUAAUAAAUGUCCUCAUAAGGACAGAGCAAAGAGGCACAUCCUCCAAAUUGAGGACAUGAUGGCUAUGGUUAUAGUUUAGUUUAGGACAUUUAGUCAACAAAAGGCCCUCACAAACAGAACGUAUGUGUGUCUGUCUGUAAUCACAUUGCCUGCCGAUAGCAAAACUGACACAUCAAAUCUGACUGCUCCAUUAAGCAGGUGAGGCAUUCAAAUGUGUGCAUGUAACUCAAUCUCCACAGCAUGCAUCAGCAGAAAGAAAAGUCCACUACUGUUAAACUACAGACAUACGAUUAACCCCUCAAAAAGUAAGAGAGGUAGUGAAAUAUCUAACCUGUGACACAGGCUACAUAAUCAGAAGAAAGGCUACACUGCUUUUAACAUGACACAAAAAGGUAUAAAAAGGUGUGUCUUUUAUUUCCUGGCCCUGCCUUAAUCCCAUAACAGACUUUUAUUUCUGAUAAGAAAACAGCAACACCCUGAGUAGCAGAUAACCGCACACUGAUUCACUUCCUUCCAGCAAAAAGACAAUAAACGCUUUUGUAUGAAGCAGCAGUACCAAAAGGUUGCUAUCAACAUUUUACAGAGGCUAGCUUACAUUUGUAGAGAAAUGUUGUUGAAAUUUACUGUACAAUGCAAAAUUAAUAGCAAUAAAAUAACCUGAACUGACCAUUGUGUACCGCUGCAACUAAAAUAAAUUUAAAACAUAUGUCAAGUGUUCUUUUACCAUUCUGAAAAUACAGUAACUCAUCAAUGUUUUAAAACAACACAGUUCAAUAAGCCUUUAAAUACUCCUCCACUAUGCAGUCCAUAGGCUUUUAACUGUUAGCUAGCCUAAGUGACAUGAGACAGAUGGUAGCAGGCCAAUGAUAGAUGAUUGUGUUAAAUGCAUUCAUAUUUAGAUAUGAAUACAGACUGCGGCCACAGGACUGCAGCUGUUGAGAGGUUUUAGGGACAACCCAGUCUGGAUAUUAGUCAGUCAAUGAGAAUCAAGAGAUAAAUAGACAUCUGUCAGUCAAGAGUUAUAUAUAUCAGCAUCAAUGCUAAUUUAAAAUUUAUAUAUACUGUAGAUAAUAGCAUUGGCAUUUAUUAAACUUCAUGUUGUAAAUGUUAAAUAAAAGUUUGUUUCAAGUUUAGGUUUAACAGUAAAUAACUGUUGGCUAAUAAAAAAAAAAAUGAAAAGAAACCGAGUACAUGAAUGAGAUUGGUGAAAUCUCAAUAAAAUUAUUUUCAAAAAGCUUCGGGAGAUAAGACUGGGUCAGGGUUCGAUGAUAGGUUACAUAUUUUCCCAUCACUCUUAUAUAACUGUAACACAAUGAAUCUUUAUUUCCAUUUUCAACUGAAAUUCAUUGCUAGCAAAUAAGAGGCUGAGGUUGUGUUAGCAUAAUGUGAUUUAUAUAAUUUUAGUGGUGACAAAAUUGUUUGACGGAUAUAUGGGAAGAUUUUUUUUAAAUAAUUUCUUGAAAAAUAUAGUAUCAUAGGACAAAAAAUCUUUAGUUUUGCUAACCGAAAGUCAAUAAAAUGGCCCAAUUUGCACAUCACGCCAUGAGAAAAGAACUACAUAUCAUCACCAUAGAAACGCUUCCUCGCCCGGAAGUGAAGGGCAGUUUAGAACUCAGGGUUAACGCAACUGUUUAUUUAGAAAUUUACGACUAAGAAAAGGCCAUAAAGAUAUAUACCUAAUGUCAGGGAGGAACAUGGGGGACGUUUAAACACUUUCCGAAGGUACAAGACACCUAAGAGUGAAUUCAGACGCUGUUGUUAUAGUGAGGAGUGAGUACGGUGGAUUCUCCCUAGGAUUGCUCUUCUGAGAGGCUGCAGUUUAUUACAAAUGGGAAAGCUUUCAUUGCAGAUUGCCCCAGCGCUGCAUAGAGACCUGCGGAAGAAGACGAAGUGAGAAAAAGGAAAAGGGCUGUAUUAGAAAAAUGUCCACACUGUAUGAGGAUUUCCCACUUUGACAAUUGCCAUCCCCUUCUGAGACUCACCAUAAUAGCUAUCUGAGAAUUGCCAUCAUACCACUCCAAAAAUCCCUAGCUUACUGGGGUGGAUAUGUUUGCAUGCCCCUCUUCCUGGUGGUUGUGUUGUCUGGGGCAGCAGCUUCUGUUAGGGUUACCCAAGGCAAAUUUGGUCCCAGGUGAGGGGGCCAGACUAAGAGCCAAAGCCAAAUCUAUGGAACAGUGCAUGUGGGAAAGAGGAACCUCACCUGUACACUGAGGGAGACCGGAGCCAUCUGUAGCCAGGCCGGAGGGGAGCUCAUUUGACAGAGCCUAGUGUCUGUGCCUGUACACAUCAGACUCUGCCUGACCAAGGUUAAUGUGGGGCUACUGUCAUUUGGACUCAUCACCAGCAAGGUUAUGCGCAGUGGUCUGGUGCAUUGCAAGUUGGGCGGCAGGUAAAGCCGGGGUCUUGGGAUACUGACUCUUGGCUACGGAAACUUGGGAUGUGGAUUAACAACUCUCACCCGGACAGGAAAGGAGCUGGUACAUGAGGUAGGUGAAAGGAUACCUAGAUGCAGUUGGGCCUAACUCUACGCACAGCACCAGGCCUGUAACCAAACUCCUAGAUAGGGGCUGGAGAGAAGGACAUCAAGACCACCUUGCUUAGCAUGCUACCACCUUGACCCUGGUUGGAUUUUGUGAGGAUGAGUGACAGUUGUCAAUGCAGGAACAUGGCCAACUGAGAGAGAUGAAAGCAAUACACAUCUUGCCUCAAGCAAGGAGCCCUGAAGACCAGUAUGCUAUGGUGUGGAUAUUCAUUGAUCACAGCGGAUGGAUCCCCAUAACCAUUUUCAGCCUUUCAGCAGGUUCCUCCCGCCCAGUCUCCCACUACAGCAUCACCAUCAUCCA